GCCGGAAUAGCUCAGUUGGUAGAGCAGAGGACUGAAAAUCCUCGUGUCACCAGUAC
rnacentral:tRNA from 1 species